rnacentral:rRNA from 1 species
CAGACAAACUCCGAAUGCCAAUUAAUUUAACUUGGGAGUCAGAACAUGGGUGAUAAGGUCCGUGUUCGAAAGGGAAACAGCCCAGACCACCAGCUAAGGUCCCAAAAUAUAUGUUAAGUGGAAAAGGAUGUGGCGUUGCCCAGACAACUAGGAUGUUGGCUUAGAAGCAGCCAUCAUUUAAAGAGUGCGUAAUAGCUCACUAGUCGAGUGACACUGCGCCGAAAAUGUACCGGGGCUAAACAUAUUACCGAAGCUGUGGAUUGUCCUUUGGACAAUGGUAGGAGAGCGUUCUAAGGGCGUUGAAGCAUGAUCGUAAGGACAUGUGGAGCGCUUAGAAGUGAGAAUGCCGGUGUGAGUAGCGAAAGACGGGUGAGAAUCCCGUCCACCGAUUGACUAAGGUUUCCAGAGGAAGGCUCGUCCGCUCUGGGUUAGUCGGGUCCUAAGCUGAGGCCGACAGGCGUAGGCGAUGGAUAACAGGUUGAUAUUCCUGUACCACCUAUAAUCGUUUUAAUCGAUGGGGGGACGCAGUAGGAUAGGCGAAGCGUGCGAUUGG